GACGAACGCUGGCGGCGUGCUUAACACAUGCAAGUCGAACGGAAAGGCCCUGCUUUUGUGGGGUGCUCGAGUGGCGAACGGGUGAGUAACACGUGAGUAACCUGCCCUUGACUUUGGGGUAACUUCAGGAAACUUGGGCUAAUACCGGAUAGGAGCUCCUGCUGCAUGGUGGGGGUUGGAAAGUUUCGGCGGUUGGGGAUGGACUCGCGGCUUAUCAGCUUGUUGGUGGGGUAGUGGCUUAGCAAGGCUUUGACGGGUAGCCGGCCUGAGAGGGUGACCGGCCACAUUGGGACUGAGAUACGGCCCAGACUCCUACGGGAGGCAGCAGUGGAGAAUAGUACACAAUGGGCGGAAGCCUGAUGCAGCAACGCCGCGUGCGGGAUGACGGCCUUCGGGUUGUAAACCGCUUUCGCCUGUGACGAAGCGUGAGUGACGGUAAUGGGUAAAGAAGCACCGGCUAACUACGUG
rnacentral:rRNA from 1 species